GAUGAACGCUGGCGGCGUGCCUAAUACAUGCAAGUCGAGCGAACAGACGAGGAGCUUGCUCCUCUGACGUUAGCGGCGGACGGGUGAGUAACACGUGGAUAACCUACCUAUAAGACUGGGAUAACUUCGGGAAACCGGAGCUAAUACCGGAUAAUAUAUUGAACCGCAUGGUUCAAUAGUGAAAGACGGUUUUGCUGUCACUUAUAGAUGGAUCCGCGCCGAAUUAGCUAGUUGGUAAGGUAACGGCUUACCAAGGCGACGAUGCGUAGCCGACCUGAGAGGGUGAUCGGCCACACUGGAACUGAGACACGGUCCAGACUCCUACGGGAGGCAGCAGUAGGGAAUCUUCCGCAAAGGGCGAAAGCCUGACGGAGCAACGCCGCGUGAGUGAUGAAGGUCUUCGGAUCGUAAAACUCUGUUAUUAGGGAAGAACAAAUGUGUAAGUAACUAUGCACGUCUUGACGGUACCUAAUCAGAAAGCCACGGCUAACUACGUG
rnacentral:rRNA from 1 species